AGUUGGCUUCUUCAGAGUGUGGCUUGACUCAUUUGCUGGUUUAUUGUGAAUGUUUGGUUGGCUUUGGACGAAUGUCCGCUUAUACGUUGUGAUGCUAGCUGCUACAAUAUCGAUUUUUCCCUUUUUGGAAGGAAGCUCGCCCUAUUUCAGUCCGGGUUCGAUAUCAUCUUCUUCGUCAUCGUCAUCCUGUUGUUUCUGCAAAGACACAGGGGGGGGGGGGUGGGGAAGGCAGCAGAGGCAAAGAAUGAACAAACGGUUUUGCGUCCGCCGCCGUGCUGAUUCAACAACCCUCGACCGUCAGCAGCCAGAGAAACCACACAGUGCCCACUGCUGGACAUUGUCAGAUCUGACUAAACGUUCCUGACAACCCUUGAAGGUCAGAUCUACCAAAGAAAAAGAACAAGCAAAGAACAAGAAUUAUCGUUAAAGGACAAUACCCAAGGAGAUCAAUAAGGGAUCAUACUUCAGCCAUCUGCAGUAGCUACAAUGAUCACAUUAGAUGUUAUAUGAUGCCCCCACAGCGAUGCAAAGCCAAUGUUUGUUCAAUGAACAAAGGAGGGACGGUCUGGUCAAUCAAUAGACAAAUAAAGAGAAACCUGGUAUUUCAGGCUCAGUGUGAGGUUGUAAAAAAAAAAAAACAAUAUCAGGCUAAAGCAGAAGGUAGUCAAAUAAGUAUAUCUUACCAACAGACGUGGUAACACACUAUUUAUCAACAUCCACCAAUGUAUAUGCUAAUCCCUCAGUUAUGGUUAAUUGAUAAGUGAUAAGUGAAGCAGUCAGAGCAUGUAGUGUACUUUAUGUUAACUAUUUUUGAUACCACCCCAAAAGAUCUCAUUAGGUCUGAUUAUGCAAAAAAAUAGUUUGAGUUUAUUGUAUUUUAUUCAACGAAAACAUAUAAGUGUCAAAGCCAGAUACUGGAUUAACUCAAACAGUUGUGGACAAACCAA